AAAGAAGUCAGGUCUUCUUAGUGAAAACCAAAGUACUCUGAUUUGAAUUUCCAAGACUAGAGAGCACACUUGUGGAUUAGCUGAUCUGUAGAAAGCACAGACACUUGACAGAACAUAACUUCUUGAAAAGCUAAAAACCAAAGCAGCCCAAUCCUCCACCACUUGAGCAAGGUUGCAACACAGCAAAGCAAAACAACAAGCCCAAUUCAGCUGCCACUCGUCUCCAACCAGACUCAUGAAUAUCAUUUGCCAAGUGGCUUCACACGACCCCUUACAAGCAAAGUACUGCUAGUGGGAGGGAAUGAAACAAGUAUUGACCUGGAAAGUAAACUAAGUUCAGAUCUCAGUCCAGCCACUUUUGGGCUGUUUCACUGCCCUGAGCUUCAGCUUCCACCUCUAUAAAGUGGGAUAAUAAUUCCUGCCUUGUGUGGCCUUCAAUGGAUUGUUGUGCAGUGUUUUAGUGGCUGUCAAAAUGCCUUAAAAAACUUUAAUGCGGUAAUGUGAAUUUAAUCUGAUUAAUUCCUUGAGAACAAGAGCUAAGGUAUCACCGGGCCCAAGGAUUUACAGAAUUCAUUAUGGCCAGCUAGACAGGGAGGUACCAGUCACGAAUCAAUUUUCCCCUAUAAGUGUUUUUGAUAAAAGCCAAACAAUGGAAUCUUCCUAAAAGAAUACAAAGAGCUAAUAACUGAGGCCAACACUUGAUUUAAGAAUAGGAUUCAGUUUGAUCAUGAUCACAAAUGAUGCACUUACCUUAUGUGCCCAGAACGAGAGGAGAGUGCCCAUAAGCCCAGCCAAUCUUGAUGGCUCCUGGAAGGGCCAGGUCUUUCUGUCGUUGACUGCUCAAUGGCAAACAGUGGUAACGUGCUUUGUGGGUAGAAAAUAGCUAUCUCCAAUGGAGAGGAGAGUGGCAGUAUCCAGCCUGGUCAUCUUUCUUCUGAGACAGGUUUCGUCAUUUCUUGCCCAGAGUGGUCUUUGCAAAAGCCCCAGGGGAACAGGCUGUUACUCCCGGGCUCAACCAGCUAGGUGAUUCUUAAAAUGUCUAAAUCUAAAGCCUAAGGAACUACAAAGAACAGAAUUGGCUAGUAGACAAGAUCCUAUUUGUUGCACGAUUCAUUCCCUUCAUCAGAAGACUCACAAGUAAACUGGCACAGAAAGAAUCCUUUUUGUGGAUAGUCCUCUGGUCUAGGUUGCCAAAGUCAACCAGAAAUGAAGCAGCCUGAGGGACCUUGAGAGCCUGGACAGCCAGUUGGCCAGUUGGAUGGGGAGACAUACAGGCAAGUGGGCAACAGGGAAGGUGGGCUGGCAGGCAAGGGCUCUGGCUUGGUACCCAAGGACCUGCUGGGAGUGAGAAGAAAAACAGUGACCAGAGGGAGCCAGGUAUCUAGGAGGGAAGAAGACUGAACUCAAUCAUUUGCUCACAAUCAGAACUGGAAUCCAGUCUAGAUAUUUGCAGCUUUUGAAAAAUCUUCAGUUGUGUCGAAGAGUGAAAGGAGUAUUAGAUGUCAAGCUUCUGUUUUUUAUUUUGUCUUGAGAGUUAGAAGAGGUAGGACUUCAGUUUGCUGAGCCUGGACCAUGGGGAAGCCUGCUCAGUAGACCUCUUCUCAAUGACAAUGACUACUCAAACUCCACAUCAUUCCUUCUUUUCCAAGCUCUAGCUAUCCUCCCAAAAAAACAUCAAGCUCCUCAAAAUAUUAGCAAGAAGCUGGUCUAGUUGGCCCAUAAAGAGCCUCUCUUGACCAUAAGCUCCUGAGAACCACACUUUUCCAUGCCCAAAUCAGAUCCAGGUCUUCAGGGUGACGGUGGCCUUUGCACUUUUUUCUGUUGUUUGGGCCUUGGUUGCCUCAUGGUAAAGCUGAGUACAGAGUACCUAAGGAUUGUCUACAGCACCUCCUGGAUCACCACUGCCAAUAAUCACAUGACAGUUCCUCAAAGUUCAAUGUCUCUAACUAAAUUCAUUAUGUUCACUUUCAUACUUACCCACCUCCACAAUUGCUUCUAUCUCAAUGGCUGUUGAUGUUCUUAGAACCUCAAGUCAAACCUGGGAAGCAGCCUAGAUUUUACCACUGAUACUAAGCUUGCUUACCUUGUAUUAAGGCCAGUGCUAUGUAGUUUAUGCAUAUUUUGAUUACCUAAACCCAUUGAUCUUACCUCCUUGAUAUGACAUGAAGCUUGUCACUACAUAGUUCAGCCUCGCACCAUCUCUUGUCUAAACACUUGCCAUGACUUCAUUGGUUCAUUUAUUCAACCAAAAUUUAUUGAGGCUCUACCAUGUGCUAGGCAUUGGGCUGAGGAUUCAGUAAUAAGCAAAACAUAUCCCUCCUCCCAUGGAGCUUACAUUCUAGAAGAGACAAGGGUUAAGCCAGUUGUUCAAUCCAUUCUCACUACAGCCAGCUUGCUCUUUCUAAAAUACAGAUCUAACCUUUCAGGUACUACCAUGAAACCUUCAGGAUAAGGUCCAAACUUGUUAACUUGGCAUUUAAGGCUUCACAUGCCUUUCCCAAUUUACCUUUUCAAACCCCAAAUCCAGUCUCCUCCCUAAAACAGAUGAGGAUACACAUACACACACUUAAGUCCCUCCUUUCUACUUCUAACAGCUUAUCGGCCAGCCAGACUUCAUUGAAACCAUGCUCUCCUAACAGCUCAUGUAUAACCAUACCUGCAUGGCUUCAGAGUCCCUCUCUGAAAACUAGUCCCUAGGGGCUUUCCCCAUCCCAAAGGCUGGUGUCUCAUGAAACCAGAUUGCCCAUAAUGAGGCUGAAUAUUGGAAGGAAGCCUUGACACUUCCUACUUACUCUGUCUGUAAUGGCCUUCUCCCCUGUACCUGGAAAACUCCUAUUUAUCCUUCAGAUCCCAGCUUGGAUGGUUCUUUCUCAUGGAGGCCUUCAAGGUGCCCCCCUCCUGCCUUCCCCUGCAGCUCCUAUUGGAUGAGGUAAUCAUCCUUGAUAUGUCCCUCAUCAUUCCACUGUCAUUUUUUACUGUCUGUCUCCCCCAAAGGCUGAGGUCUCAUCGGCUUUAGUCACCACUCUAUUCCCGGUAUCUGCCACAACACUGACACUGAAUGAAUGAAUUGUUGAAUGGAUAAAUAAGUGAAUGAAUGAACCUUUGAAAAAAAGAAAGAAAUGAAAGAAGUCCUAACUGAAUGGAUUGAUAUAUCAUGUCCAUGGUUUGAAAGACAAU
rnacentral:lncRNA from 1 species